rnacentral:tRNA from 1 species
GGAUAAGUAGUUUAAAUAUAAAACAUAACACUGAAAAUGUUAAAAUGACACUUGCCCUUUUCCA